CCCAGACUCCUACGGGAGGCAGCAGUGGGGGAUAUUGCACAAUGGGGGAAACCCUGAUGCAGCGACGCCGCGUGGGUGAAGAAGUAUUUCGGUAUGUAAAGCCCUAUCAGCAGGGAAGAAAGAAGACGGUACCUGACUAAGAAGCCCCGGCUAACUACGUGCCAGCAGCCGCGGUAAUACGUAGGGGGCGAGCGUUAUCCGGAUUCACUGGGUGUAAAGGGAGCGUAGACGGCCGUGCAAGCCAGGAGUGAAAGCCCGGGGCCCAACCCCGGGACUGCUCUUGGAACUGUGCGGCUGGAGUGCGGGAGGGGCAGGCGGAAUUCCUGGUGUAGCGGUGAAAUGCGUAGAUAUCAGGAGGAACACCGGCGGCGAAGGCGGCCUGCUGGACUGCAACUGACGUUGAGGCCCGAAAGCGUGGGGAGCAAACAGGAUUAGAUACCCCAGUACA
rnacentral:rRNA from 1 species